GCCCGGAUGGCGAAACUGGUAGACGCAUCGGACUUAAAAUCCGCCGGGAGCAAUCCCUUGCCGGUUCGAUUCCGGCUCCGGGCACCA
rnacentral:tRNA from 17 species